CUUGGCAUCUAGAGGAAGAAAUUAAGGCCAAGAACGCCCUGGCCCACGCCCUGCAGUCCGCUCGCCACGACUGUGACUUGCUCCGGGAACAAUAUGAGGAGGAGCAGGAAGCCAAGGGGGAGCUGCAGC